rnacentral:rRNA from 1 species
GACAGAGGUGGCAAGCGUUGUCCGGACUGACUGGGCGUAAAGCGCACGCAGGUGGCCGCGCAAGUGUGGUGUGAAAGCGCCCGGCUUAACCGGGCGAGGCCAUCGCAGACUGCGCAGCUCGAGCUAUGCAGAGGUCGGUGGAAUUGCCGGUGUAGUGGUGAAAUGCGUAGAGAUCGGCAGGAACACCAAGGGGGAAACCAGCCGACUGGGCAUAGGCUGACACUCAGGUGCGACAGCGUGGGGAGCGAACUGG